rnacentral:ncRNA from 1 species
GGGGGUAAACGGUUCGGACUUAAUUGGAUGAGCCUGGUAUGGAAACCUAUUAAGUGAGAACUAUCAAAUUCAGAGAAACCCUGGAAUUAAAAAUGGGCAAUCCUGAGCCAAAUCCUGUUUUACAAAAAUAAACAAAGGUUCAGAAAGAAUUUAAAUAAAAAAAGGGAUAGGUGCAGAGACUCAAUGGAAGCUGUUCUAACAAAUGGGGUUUGACUACCUUUGCCUUAGUAAAGAAAUCCUUCUAUCGAAACUACAAAAAGGAUGACCUAUACGCAUAUCUAAAGGAGAUAAAAAAACUAUCUCAAAAAAAGACGACCCAAACCCGUAUUUAGAUAUAUCUAUUUUUAUGAAAAAUAGAAAUAUAAAAAAAGAAUUGUUGUGAAUUAGUAUUGAUUCUAAGUUGAAGAAGGAAUCAAAAAAAAAAUUCACCCCCAUAGUUUGAUAAAUCUUUUGAACAACUGGUUAAUUGGACGAGAAUAAAGAUAGAGUCCCGUUCUACAUGUCAAUACUGACAACAAUGAAAUUUAUAGUAAAAGGAAAAUCCGUCGACUUUUAAAAUCGUGAGGGUUCAAGUCCCUCUAUCCCCA